rnacentral:piRNA from 1 species
CUGACAAUAAUGUGUUCAUCAGGUACCU